GACGUAGGGCGCGAGCGUUGUCCGGAAUUAUUGGGCGUAAAGAGCUCGUAGGCGGCUUGUCGCGUCUGCUGUGAAAUCCCGAGGCUCAACCUCGGGUCUGCAGUGGGUACGGGCAGACUGGAGUGCGGUAGGGGGAGACUGGAAUUCCUGGUGUAGCGGUGAAAUGCGCAGAUAUCAGGAGGAACACCGGUGGCGAAGGCGGUUCUCUGGGCAUGUCCUGACGCUGAGGAGCGAAAGUGUGGGGAGCGAACAGG
rnacentral:rRNA from 1 species